UGCCAAAUUGAAUGUUACUGCUGAAUGGAUUUUGCAUCUGCUGAACCUGAUUUUUGCUGAAUUUCUGUCCUAACCAGAAAAAGUCAGAAAUCUUACAAGAGAGUCUGCUCCCACAGACAGAUUUCUAAAUCUGUAUCAGGAGUGCUGUCUUUUCUGCUUGUUGAUGUAGUGCCUAAGUGUAAUGGGCACUGCUCUUUGACUGGUGUUUUUUGAAUGCUACAGUAGUACAAAUAAUAGUAGUGGAAUAAGGACAAGUAAAAAAAAAGUGUGUUACGAGAUGACAGAGAAUAUAGGAGUAAACUAAGAAGGAAAGGAGAAAUUAGGAAAAUCAGAAGAGAAGAAUUCAGUCCAUAGGCAUCUCUAAGCUUGACCGACCCAUGAAGAGAUCUCCACUCCAUUUGUGGGUAUCGCGCCCUAUACCUGCUGUGAACCACUGCUGGGACUACACAUUCAAGAAGAUGAUGCAGUUAGAACUGUGUUUCAUCAGAAGCUGAGUGUUUUGAGAUGUGAGUACUCUCUUUUCAUUUGCUUACCCAGAAGAGGAAGGUAUGACCCACUGAUUUUAAUGGAAGUUAAGGGCAACAGGAGAGCCCAAUAUCAUGAGGUACAGUGCAGGGAGGAGAGGAACCUCCACGGGGCUUCUCCUCCAUACAACUGGUCAGGGAGUAGGUGUGCAAGGAUGAGAAGUAUGUGUAGCCUUGUCUCCACUCGCCCAAUGCAUGGACCACAUGGCUGAGCUGGCAAAGAGAGGGAAAUAUUAAUAUUGUGCACCAAAUAAAGUCUGGUGCAGAUUACA
rnacentral:lncRNA from 1 species